rnacentral:rRNA from 1 species
CCUACGGGAGGCAGCAGUGAGGAAUAUUGGGCAAUGGGCGCAAGCCUGACCCAGCAACGCCGCGUGAAGGAAGAAGGCUCUCCGGUUGUAAACCUCUUUUUAGAGGGAAGAGCAGAAGACGGUAUCUCUUGAAUAAGCCACGGCUAACUACGUGCCAGCAGCCGCGGUCAUACGGAGGGGGCAAGCGUUAUCCGGAUUUACUGGGUGUAAAGGGAGCGUAGACGGCGAUGGAAGUCUGAAGUGAAAGGCGGGGGCCCAACCCCCGGACUGCUUUGGAAACUGGAUGGCUGGAGUGCAGGAGAGGUAAGCGGAAUUCCUGGUGUAGCGGUGAAAUGCGUAGAUAUUAGGAGGAACACCGAUGGCGAAGGCAGCUUACUGGACUGUCACUGACGUUGAGGCUCGAAAGCGUGGGGAGCAAACAGGAUUAGAUACCCCAGUAGUC